rnacentral:rRNA from 1 species
CAGAACGAACGCUGGCGGCGCGUUUAAGCAUGCAAGUCGAGCGGCAAGGGCCUUCGGGCCCCUAGAGCGGCGGACGGGUGAGUAACACGUGGACAAUCUGCCCCCCGGCCCGGGAUAGCCCAGGGAAACCUGGAUUAAUACCGGAUGAGACGGGACCCGCGAUGGCGGGACCCGGGAAGGCGCUGCAGCGCCGCCGGGGGAUGAGUCUGCGUCCCAUUAGCUAGACGGCGGGGUAACGGCCCACCGUGGCGACGAUGGGUAGCCGGCCUGAGAGGGUGGACGGCCACAUUGGAGCUGAGACACGGUCCAGACUCCUACGGGAGGCAGCAGCUAAGAAUCUUCCGCAAUGGGCGAAAGCCUGACGGAAGCGACGCCGCGUGAACGAAGAAGGCCGUGAGGUUGUAAAGUUCUUUUCGGGAGGGGGAACAACCGUGGCAGGGAAUGGCCGCGGGAUGACGUGAAUCCCGGAAUAAGCCCCGGCUAACUACGUGCCAGCCGCCGC